GUUCCAUUCAGUGGCACAUACACUAAAAUUGGAAUGAUACAGAGAAAAUUAGCAUGACCCCUGGGUAAAAGAUAGCAUGUGACCUUGUCAAGUGUUCUAUACUUUU